CUCUCCUGCUCGGCCUCCAGGGCUGUCCCUCUGAGAGGGGGUGAGCUGUGCUGGGCUCUCCCUGAGCUCCUCCAUCAUCAAGUGGUCAUUGUGCUGGGCUGACCUCUACUCACAAUGGGCUUCCGUCUGCCCAGUAGAGCCUUCUCUGGGUGCACAGAUGCCAGCACUCAACGAUGGGGUGGGGACCAGCCUGGGCACGGGGGACGUCCUGGCCCAUCCCAGGGUUUCUGGAGGGCGAGGGAAAACUCCUAGAAUGGAACUGCCAAUGGGCAUGGGAUUUCUUUUGGGGAAUGAGAAUGUUCUGGAACUGGAGCUUGGGGCAGUCGCAUGGCCUGGGAAGUGCAGUAAAUGCCACUGAGCUGUGCAACUUGAAGGGUGCAUUUCAUGCAUGUGAAUUAUGUCUGAAUAACAAGAAAAGCAGUCCCCAAGGAUUUGCACGAUGACUCACAGGGGCUAUGAGAACUGGACUCUCUUGGAAGCUGCUGCUGCACCACAAUUCAUGUGACACCCGCUGUCCAGUGCAUAGCACGGUGGGAACCUGCCAUCCAAGGAGGUUGGGAUUGGCUGUUGGUCAGAUUGGUUCCUUGUUGUUUUCCUUUGUCCCGGAGGAGCCUCAGGGCUUUGCUCAAUCAGGGCAAGGCCCACACACAGUGCUCAGAGCACAGCCGCGCGGAGCAAAUGUCACCUUGCAAAUAAACCAAUGUCCAUGUGGUACACUGAGCUGGACUGGGGAACAUAGGAAGGCAAGUUUACACCCCUGCCUCUCUGUGGGACCGGCUUCCCCAGGGCUGCACUCCCAGCCGCACAAGCGUGGUGAACUCUGCAGCUGCCCCAGGUCUCUGGUUCUCUCCUUGUUCUCUCUGCGCCCCGCCCUCCAGGUCCCCGUUUCCCCAUAGCCCUCGUCCCCUGUUAGCACAGCAUGUAGCUCCCUUCUGGGCGGGGC
rnacentral:lncRNA from 10 species